ACAACCCAGUGUUCAUAGACGAAUUCACUACAAUAGACUAAAUGUAUGCUGCCUCUUGAAAGUCAAUCUAAAAUGUAGAAAAAUUGAAAUUUUACAACUGUACUGUGGUGGAAGCAAUAUCAAAGAUAUACAUAGAUAUAAAGUUACCCAAGUCACAUGAAUGACCUUUUCUUUAGAAAGACCCCGCCUCCUCAGUAUUACUGGAUGGGACAUGGACCAAACCAAAGAAAGAAAUCAAAGAUUGUUUCCAUCAUUUUAGGAAGUUCUUCCCUCACACUGAGGUAUUUUCAAGUGUUCAUUUCACGAUAUGUUAAUGAGUUAUUUGAUGUUUGAUGUUGCCUUUUUACGGGACAUCAAUACCAGUGGCUCCAUCUGCUGAUCACUGCUGCGCAGACUGCGUAUAUUUCUGGAUGGAUGGAGGAAGUGGAGAAGCAUUUCCAUCUUUAUAAACAGCCUUUGUGCGUGGGACCCCUCCUCUCCUCUGGAUAGCCCAGAUGCUGCAGAUAGAAAUAACACCUCAUGGCUUCAAGUGAAUGAGCCAGUUUGCCUCUGUAAUCUGACAUGUCCUGCACCUCACUUCCUGUUUGGAUCUUCACCUCAGCCCCACAGUCCACAGAGAUUUCACCCAAUCUAGAGAAUCCUCACCACCUACUCCAGCUGCAACCAUUUCCCCCACUACAAUGGACUGGUAAAAAUUACCCAUCUCUCAAACAAAAAAAAAGAAAGUAGUUUUCUCAAACUUUUUCUUUCCUUUAUUUUGUGCUCUUUUUCGGGACCUAAAUUGAGGCAUUAAUGCAUUUUUAGUAGACAAAAAUAUAUUCCUUGUAUAUGUGCUCUAUGAGGCAGAUUUAUACAAAUUCAUGUGUCACACACAGAUACAUGUAUUCUAUACCGUGAGGCCAUGUUUGCAUUUGCAUGAAGUAUAUGCAGGUCAGUGUAAUAAAACAUUUAUUUUUCUCUCCCAUCUGCUACUUUGUAAAACAACACACAGCAGCAAGCAGUACACACACCACUACUCAUAUAUUAGCAGGCACCCACACUCAUGCACAGGCCAAAACUGCAUGGUAAGUUUGAAGAACAGUGCCUUGUGUUUACAGUUGUGUGGAUAAGGGAUAAGCUUGUUUAUUAUUUAUGACGACAAGGGUUAGUUUUCAUGUUUUUGUUUCCAGCUUAACUGGACUUAAAAGAGCAUUCAGAGGACAAAACGCCUAAAAGGACGACUUGCUAACUAUUCGUGUAUGAGCUGAAAUAUGAAGUGAAGCUAUAUUCAAAAAUAUGCUUAAAAAAUUUCAAGUUUCUCUCUUGUGUUUUGUUUGAAAUUCAAAAACAGUGCUGCAGUCCAUGCAGGGAUGUGUGUCCUUAACCUGGGUCAACACGGAGGGAAACUCCACUGCUGUAGUUAAUGUACAUGAGCUGUGCUGCCUCCCUGGCAUUGAGGGGGAGAGUGAAUGAAUCACCAUCUUUAAUAAAUGUUCUUGAUAAUGAA